rnacentral:rRNA from 1 species
GUAGGUGGCAAGCGUUGUCCGGAAUUAUUGGGCGUAAAGCGCGCGCAGGCGGUUCUUUAAGUCUGAUGUGAAAGCCCACGGCUCAACCGUGGAGGGUCAUUGGAAACUGGAGAACUUGAGUACAGAAGAGGAAAGCGGAAUUCCACGUGUAGCGGUGAAAUGCGUAGAGAUGUGGAGGGACACCAGUGGCGAAGGCGGCUUUCUGGUCUGUAACUGACGCUGAGGCGCGAAAGCGUGGGGAGCAAACAGGGAUUAGAUACCCUGGUAGUCCACGCCGUAAACGAUGAGUGCUAAGUGUUAGGGGGUUUCCGCCCCCUUAGUGCUGCAGCUAACGCAUUAAGCACUCCGCCUGGGGAGUACGGCCGCAAGGCUG